UACGAAGGGGGCUAGCGUUGCUCGGAAUCACUGGGCGUAAAGCGCACGUAGGCGGCUUGUUAAGUCAGGGGUGAAAUCCUGGAGCUCAACUCCAGAACUGCCUUUGAUACUGGCAAUCUCGAGUUCGGGAGAGGUGAGUGGAACUGCGAGUGUAGAGGUGAAAUUCGUAGAUAUUCGCAAGAACACCAGUGGCGAAGGCGGCUCACUGGACCGAUACUGACGCUGAGGUGCGAAAGCGUGGGGAGCAAACAGG
rnacentral:rRNA from 1 species